rnacentral:rRNA from 1 species
CCAAUGCUUCUAAUUUCAUAGCAAGCUCGCUUGCUAUGAAAUAGGCAACCAGUAAUAUAAGCAAGUGUGUGCUAUUUAUAGCGCUAGCCUACAAACCUAUAAUUAUAUUAACUCUAAGAGAAAUUUAAUAAUAAACGAAGUGAAUUGAAAUAUCUUAGUAACUUUAGGAAAAGAAAUCAAAAGAGAUUCUAUGAUUAGCGUGAGCUAAAAUAGACUAGCCUAAAAAGUCAAAUGGUGGAUAAACUGUUUAAAUUAAAUGGGGAACCUUCCUCAAAGGCUAAAUAUAAUGUAUAAGCGAUAGUGGAAAGUACCGUGAGGGAACCAAAACAAAAACAGUGAUUUUAUAAGCAGUUCGGGAAAAUAAAAAAAAGUUAGAACGUACCUUUUGCAUAAUGGGUCACCAAGUUAACAUUAGAUGCGAGUAGGAGGCUUUGCCCAUACAUACGUAGUUAAACCGAGCGUUAAAAUAACGGUAAGUAUCUAAAGUUAGACCCGAAGCCUGGUGAUUUUACCAUAAUCAGGAUUAUAAAAGUCCGAACGGAAUAUUGUAGCAUAAAUAUCCGAAGAAUUAUGGUAGGUGUAGUGAAAGACAAUACUGACCAGGAUAGCUGGUUUUCUGCGAAACCUAUAACAGUAGGCAAUUUAAGUAUAAUAUCUUAGCAGGUACAGAAUUUAAUCUCAGACAAGACAUAAGGCUUAGCUUGCUAGCAAGUAAAGCUCAUGUUUUAUUUUGUACAAAUUGGGGGAUCAUGAAGAUUUUAUCAGUGAGUAUGUAGACUCGGAAUGGCAAAGAUAUAUCUUAAAUCAUCAGACAUAGAAUGAUAAGGUUGUAUGUCAAAAGGGAAACAGCCCAGAACAAGAGUUAAGGUUCCUAAAUUAUUAGUUGAGUGAAAUUAAGAAGGUUUUUAUUAAAGUCGACAAGGAGAUAGGCUUAGAAGCAGCCAUAAUUUUAUGACCUCGUAACAGAGCGCUUGUUAAGUUUUAAAAGCAUCGAAAAUUUAUCGGAUCUAAACAAUAUACCGAAACCUUGUCCAUAUUAUUUUAUAAUUAAAGCUUAAUUAUAAUUAAAUGGGGUAGCAGAACGUUGAGCUAAAUUAAGAUUUUUAUUUUUUAAAUGAAAUUAUAAUAAUUUAACUCAAGUGAUAAUGGUGACAUGAGUAACUAAAAGAAAAAAUAAAAUUUUUCCGCCUAAAGCUUAUGGAUGUAAUUAAGUAACGGCCUCUAAGUUUAUAUUAUCUAAAGAUUUAAACGAUGAGAUAAUCUUUUGUACUAAGGACGACAUUUUAAGUGAAAAAUGUACUGGAAAAAUAGUACUAAAUUAAUGGGUAUAGCUAAUUAGUUAGCUAUAGCUAUAAAUGAAAAGUAACCGUACCUAGAAUCUGAAACAAGUAAGCUAGUAGAGAAUACGAAGGCGUAAAUGAGCUAACAAUCAUAAAGGAACUCGGCAAAUUGACUACCGUAACUUCGGGAUAAGGAGAGCUCAUUAUUCUUGAUUAAUAUCAGGUAAAGAGGAAGAAGCAUAAAAUAGUGUUGUACGACUGUUUAAUUAAAACACAGCACUUUGCUGAAAGAUUAAAAAUCUAAGUAUAGAGUGUGAUGUCUGCCCGGUGCCGGCUGGUUAACAGAUAUAAUUAAAUAUACUAAUAUUUGAUGUAGACGGAAACCCCGGUUAAAGGCGGCCUUAACGUGAGGGUCCUAAGGUAGCGAAAUGCCUUGGCCGUUAAAUGCGGUCUUGCAUGAAUGAUGUAACGAUACAACAGCUGUCUCUAUGAUUGACUCAGUGAAAUUGGAAUAGCUGUGCAGAUACAGUUUACCUCUAGUUAGACGAGAAGACCCUAUGCAGCUUUACUGUCACUAAUUAUAGAGUAUGAUAAACAAUUUUCAGAUUAUAAGGUAAUUGACGGCUAGCUUGUUCAGCAAGCUAGCUCUAUGACAAUGAGAAUCCUUUAUUUUUUUUUCAUAUGAAUGAAUUGGUUUAGGAUUAUGAGUAGGUAGCGGCUUCUGCUACUUGGCGUAAGCAUUGCUUGCGUUAGGUGUCUGAAGUAUGCAUUCCAGCUCAUGCAUAGUAAAUCAACCUAAUUCAGCUUAUUUUCCUUUCUGCCAUAAGCGCAUAAUGAUAGAUUUAACUUAAAUUUUGAUUUAUGCCAGCUGCAGAAAUAGAUAAGUACCCUUGGCUAAGGAACUAUCGCUAGGGGACAGUUUAUGUGGGGCACAGACCCUGUAAAGAGUAAACAGGAGUGUCUAAUAAUUUAUAAUUAUUUUGUUUGCGAUUUAAGAUAGUGAAACUAUUUUUAAUCAUAUAAAAUUAUUUAUAUGUACAUUCGUUGUAUAUAUAUUUAAAAAAAGGUAGGAUUUUCACUAUAUAGAAAUUAGAGAUAAUAAAAAUAUUAAGAAUAUACGUUUCAGGCUGGGAGGGGGAAGCUCCUCCCUUUGAAAGGUAGCACUAAUAUUUUUUAGCUAUUAAGACAGGCUAUCAAGCUAGGCUCUAAUAGUUAUGUAUUAAUUAUCUAAAAAGCUCAACGGCUAAAUCUUGCCUUACUGUUUGAUUAUCAACAAAUCU